AGUGGGACAAGUAAACGAGAGGAAAGUCCGAGCUACACAGGGCAGAGUGCCGGAUAACGUCCGGGCGGCGUGAGCCGACGACCAGUGCAACAGAGAGCAAACCGCCGAUGGCCCACGUAAGUGGGAUCAGGUAAGGGUGAAAGGGUGCGGUAAGAGCGCACCGCGCGGCUGGUAACAGUCCGUGGCACGGUAAACUCCACCCGGAGCAAGGCCAAAUAGGGGUUCAUAAGGUACGGCCCGUACUGAACCCGGGUAGGCUGCUUGAGCCAGUGAGCGAUUGCUGGCCUAGAUGAAUGACUGUCCACGACAGAACCCGGCUUAUCGGUCAGUUUCACUU
rnacentral:RNase_P_RNA from 1 species